CCUACGGGGGGCAGCAGUGGGGAAUAUUGCGCCAUGGGCGAAAGCCUGACGCAGCGACGCCGCGUGAGGGAUGAAGGUCUUCGGAUCGUAAACCUCUGUCAGCAGGGAAGAACGGUCACUGUGCUAAUCAGCAGUGAAUUGACGGUACCUGCAAAGGAAGCACAGGCUAACUCCGUGCCAGCAGCCGCGGUAAUACGGAGGGUGCGAGCGUUAAUCGGAAUUACUGGGCGUAAAGCGCUCGUAGGCGGUAUGUCAAGUCAAGGGUGAAAUCCCCGCGCUCAACGUGGGAACUGCCUUUGAAACUGGCAAACUGGAGUGUGUGAGAGGAUAGUGGAAGUCCAGGUGUAGGAGUGAAAGCCGUAGAUAUCUGGAGGAACAUCAGUGGCGAAGGCGACUAUCUGGCACAUAACUGACGCUGAGGAGCGAAAGCGUGGGUAGCAAACAGGAUUAGAUACCCUAGUAGUC
rnacentral:rRNA from 1 species